AUGUAAGAAUAUAAUCCUGAAUACUCCUAAACCUACUCUUGUAAAUGUGCGGCCCAAGGGUGACUGUCGUGUAGUGUAGCAGUUUAGGGUUAACUUUAGGCCAGAGAUAAUACGUGCUGCUCUGUACAUUUUGUACUUUUCGUAUGUUCUGUUCCUAUUUCAUAUCCUGGUCAACUCACCAUAUAAGGAGUUGUUUUAUUAUACAUGAAAGAGCAGACCAUACACCCCCUAGAACAGGAGGAACCAGGAAUGUGGUUUCAGUGAAACUAGAAGGUACAGAGAAAAGCAAAAGAGUAUGUUCUCGCGGUUAUUGAACUGUGCAUAACUCCUGUGUGACCUUGAUACUGAGUGUGCAAAACACAUUCCAUAACUUUCUACUGCUGAUACUCCCUAUGCAGAAGUGUGUAUAUAUACGCCCUGACGCAGCUAUGUGUCAGGACACGCAGAGAAUAAACCAGAUUGAUUUAACUCAUGUGGUUCGCUCUCUUCUUGUCCUCGGAGAUCUCCUGGUAACGCAUCUGAACAGCACGCAGCGCAAUCUUAACAAUUUGGUGACCUCGACGUGAUACUCUCAAUCAGGGGAAGACAAUACACGUGGACGCGGUUGCCACAGGGUUUCAUUGACUCACCGGCGGUCUUCACUGCCGUAUUGCGGGACGCGCUGGCUGAUCUCUGUCUUCCCCGGGGCUCCACGGUGCUCCAGUACGCGGAUGAUCUUCUGGUAACGGCGGAGGAUCAAGACGCUUGUGCUGCCGCCACAUUGUCUCUCCUCACACUCCUGGCGCAGAAGGGUUUCAAGGUCUCCCGCACGAAGUUGCAGUUUUGCCUCACAACUGUUCGCUACUUGGGACAUGACCUCUCCCAGGGUUCCAGGAGGCUUAGCCCGGAACGCGUUCAAGUCAUUAUGGACACUCAGGCUGCGGAGCUCUAUGCUUUGACUCGCGCAUGUAUUUUGGCUCAAGACACAGACGUUACUAUUUACACCGACUCACGCUACGCUUUCGGCGUGGCGCACGACUUCGGCCGCAUUUGGGCGUCUCGGGGGUUUACGACAGCCGACGAAAGUUGCUGUGACAAUAGCUGACGGCCUUUUCAGGGAUCCCCUUCCAGCAUCUGGAGCAAUCCAGUUUCGGCUGAUCUACAAAGAGGGGAUGGUUGGUGAGUCUUGCAAAGUUCUGGGCUGAAGAGUCUGAAAAGCACGGGAGCCUGUGACAUUUUUCGCCGUCUGCACCCUGUGAGCAUUAGAGAACAAAGUCAGUGACCAGUAUGACUUUCUUCAUCAUCGUGCUGAUCUCAACGCUUGGGGCAGGGUUACCCGCACAAGCAAUACACCGGGACCCAAGGGAUAACGAGUUUUGGAAAUAUAUAAACUUCACUGUAAAAACAUCAAUGAAUAUGAGUAUACCUUGUUAUGUGUGUUCUUUGUUACCCCAUGACAGCAGCGAUCCUUUUCCGGUCCGAAUAGCCCCAUCUAACUAUUCUAAGGUUAAUAUGACAUGGCUCAGCCUGUGGCCCUCGUAUACUCAAAUUAAGGUUUUCCUGACAGACAAUACAGACCCAGAGGUAAGGUUGUCAAUACACUGGGGUGUGAAUAAUACUCUGGGCUUGCGUCAGAGUAUUAAAGAGGGGAUUGUAAGAAUAUAAUCCUGAAUACUCCUAAACCUACUCUUGUAAAUGUGCGGCCCAAGGGUGACUGUCGUGUAGUGUAGCAGUUUAGGGUUAACUUUAGGCCAGAGAUAAUACGUGCUGCUCUGUACAUUUUGUACUUUUCGUAUGUUCUGUUCCUAUUUCAUAUCCUGGUCAACUCACCAUAUAAGGAGUUGUUUUAUUAUACAUGAAAGAGCAGACCAUACACCCCCUAGAACAGGAGGAACCAGGAAUGUGGUUUCAGUGAAACUAGAAGGUACAGAGAAAAGCAAAAGAGUAUGUUCUCGCGGUUAUUGAACUGUGCAUAACUCCUGUGUGACCUUGAUACUGAGUGUGCAAAACACAUUCCAUAACUUUCUACUGCUGAUACUCCCUAUGCAGAAGUGUGUAUAUAUACGCCCUGACGCAGCUAUGUGUCAGGACACGCAGAGAAUAAACCAGAUUGAUUUAA